GACGUAGGGCGCGAGCGUUGUCCGGAUUUAUUGGGCGUAAAGAGCUCGUAGGCGGCUCGUUGCGUCAACCGUGAAAACCCGGGGCUUAACUUCGGGCUUGCGGUUGAUACGGGCGGGCUGGAGUUCGGUAGGGGAGACUGGAAUUCCGUGUAGCGGUGAAAUGCGCAGAUAUCAGGAGGAACACCGGUGGCGAAGGCGGGUCUCUGGGCCGAUACUGACGCUGAGGAGCGAAAGCGUGGGGAGCGAACAGG
rnacentral:rRNA from 1 species